rnacentral:rRNA from 1 species
GACGAACGCUGGCGGCGUGCCUAAUACAUGCAAGUCGAACGCAGUGGGGACGGGUGAGUAACACGUGGGUAACCUCCCAUCAGAGGGGAUAACACUUGGAAACAGGUGCUAAACCGAUACUGAUGGAUGGACCCGGGGUGCAUUAGCUAGUUGGUGAGGUAACGGCUCACCAAGGCGACGAUGCAUAGCCGACCUGAGAGGGUGAUCAGCCACACUGGAACUGAGACACGGCCCAGACUCCUACGGGAGGCAGCAGUGGGGAAUAUUGGGCAAUGGGCGAAAGUCUGACCGAGCAACGCCGCGUGAGUGAAGAAGGUUUUCGGAUCGUAAAGCUCUGUUGUUAGGGAGGCGUUAUCUAACGAGAAAGCCCCGGCUAACUACGUGCCAGCCGCCGCGGUAAUUC